rnacentral:rRNA from 1 species
UACGGGGGGGGCAAGCGUUGUUCGGAAUUACUGGGCGUAAAGGGCUCGUAGGUGGCCAACUAAGUCAGACGUGAAAUCCCUCGGCUUAACCGGGGAACUGCGUCUGAUACUGGAUGGCUUGAGUGUGGGAGAGGGAUGCGGAAUUCCAGGUGUAGCGGUGAAAUGCGUAGAUAUCUGGAGGAACACCGGUGGCGAAGGCGGCAUCCUGGACCAUUACUGACACUGAAUAGCGAAAGCCAGGGGAGCGAACGGG